rnacentral:rRNA from 1 species
UACGUAGGGGGCUAGCGUUGUCCGGAAUCAUUGGGCGUAAAGAGCGUGUAGGCGGCCCGGUAAGUCCGCUGUGAAAGUCGGGGGCUCAACCCUCGAAUGCCGGUGGAUACUGUCGGGCUAGAGUGCGGAAGAGGCGAGUGGAAUUCCUGGUGUAGCGGUGAAAUGCGCAGAUAUCAGGAGGAACACCAAUUGCGAAGGCAGCUCGCUGGGACGUAACUGACGCUGAGACGCGAAGGCGUGGGGAGCAAACAGG